CCCCUAGAUGUCCUGGGCCGCACGCGCAAUACAAUGUAAAGUUCAGAAAGCGUAUCCUGUUCCGGAAGGCAAUGGGUAAUCUUUUCAAUAUUUUACGUGUUAGGGAUCGAUCUUUGCAAUUAUAGAUCUUGAACGAGGAAUACCUAGUAAGUGCAGCUCAUCAGGCUGUACUGAUUACGUCCCUGCCCUUUGUACACACCGCCCGUCGCUCCUACCGAUUUCGAGUGGUCCGGUGAAUCUUUUGGAAUUAGAGUGCAAACUCAAACUAAGAUCGAUAAACCUUAUCACUUAGAGGAAGGAGAAGUCGUAACA
rnacentral:rRNA from 1 species